rnacentral:rRNA from 1 species
CUACGGGAGGCACCAGUGAGGAAUAUUGCACAAUGGGGGGAACCCUGACGCAGCAACGCCGCGUGGAGGAUGACGCAUUUCGGUGUGUAAACUCCUUUUAUAUGUCAAGAAAAUGACGGUAGCAUAUGAAUAAGCACCGGCUAACUCCGUGCCAGCAGCCGCGGUAAUACGGAGGGUGCAAGCGUUACUCGGAAUCACUGGGCGUAAAGGACGCGUAGGCGGGUUGGAAAGUCAGGUGUGAAAUCCUACAGCUUAACUGUAGAACUGCACUUGAAACUUCUAAUCUAGAGUAUGGGAGGGGGAGAUGGAAUUAGUGGUGUAGGGGUAAAAUCCGUAGAUAUCACUAGGAAUACCUAAAGCGAAGGCGAUCUCCUGGAACAUUACUGACGCUAAGGCGUGAAAGCGUGGGGAGCAAACAGGAUUAGAUACCCGGGUAGUC